AUAGAACUUUUUCAGGAGCAAAGGGCAAGAAAAUGUUUUUAAAAAGGGGAAUAAUCCUAGCAAAAUAGUUUUAUAGAUUUUUUUUUGGAAAGCCAUGCCAUUUUCUCCCCUCCUUAUUACUAGUUGGUAAUGUGCAAAACAAUGCUAUCUCAAAAAUAAGAAAAUAGUGAAAGAGAACAUAUGCCCCUGUUGUGGGUUAAAUAGGGACUCCCAGAGGAUAUGUCCUUUCAGGACCUCAGAUGUAAUUAAAGUAGGGAUCUUGAGGUGAGAUCAUCCUGGAGGAGGGUGGGCCCUAAAUCCAAAGAUUAACGUGUUUAUGAAAGACUGAGACAAAGAGAAGAAGGCCCUGUAAAGCUGAGCACAGAUUGGAGUUUUGUAGCUGUGAGCCAAGGAAAGCCAGGAGAAGCAAGGAAGGAUGAGUCUCUAGAGCCUGCAGAGGGAGCACAGCCCUGCCAACACCUGGAUUUCUGAAGUCUGCCCUACAAACUGUGAUGAGAGAUCUUUUUAAAGGCAAAGACAGCAAUUUCCUGGGGAUCUAUGAGUACACUGUUCAACUACAGUACAGAUAAGAACUGAUCCCAAGCAGUCGAGAAGCUUUCAUCUGCCUUUUGUUUCCACGGUGGCAAUGAAGAACAAAGAAAGCCGGGAACUAUGCCUAACUAUGAGUAACCACAGAUGAUCUUCAGUAACUGUUCUCAUCUUUCCAUUGUGGAGGAGAUGUCUCAUACUGAAGCAUGCUUUGCCUACAAAAAUAAAUACAUAUUUGACACUUGGAAAACCAUAUUUCUUUAGAAAUAUGUCAGUGACCAGUACAUCCUGAAGCUAGCAUGGUGGGGAAUAUCCCAUGGAUAAUUUAUUGAGUCACUAAAUAAAUACUUCUUUAGCGCAUAUCAAGUGACAGAUAUUGUGCUAAAUGUUAAUCAUACAAUGAUGAAACAAAGAUACAAGGUCUCUGCCAUCACAAACUCCGUCCAGAGGGAAGAGACAGUAAAAUGAUAAUUACUGCCCAUUGCGAUGAGUGCUACAGUUGUACAGAGCCCGGUGGAGAGAGGAAGCGAGCCCAGCCUGGAAGCAUUCUAUAGAAAACUCCCCAAAAGAUGCCCAUUUAAGCAAAAAGUUGAAAAUUGAGUAGAAAUCUACAAAGUGAAGAGUGUGCGUCUGUGUGUUUGUGUGUGUGCAAAAAAAAAAAAAGGAGUAAGGUCAGUGUUCCAGGAAAAAAAAACUAUGCAAAGGCUCAUAAGAAAUGAAAAUAAUUUUAGUAAGGAUGCAGUUUAAACCAAGGUUGAUAAUUUUUAAGAGGUGAAGCUGGAGAGGAAAAUAGAAACCAGAAACCAGAUCCCAAAAACAUUUCCAGCAAUAUUAAGUUUAAACUUUCUCCUGAGGACAAUACUGAGAUUAUGAAGGUUUUUAAACCAGGGUAAUGGCAUAAUGAGAUUUGUAUUUUAUAAAAAUCUCUAUAGUUGCCAAGUAGAAAAUAGGUUGAAGAGGGAAACCAUUUAGGACACUCUAAGCUUAUAGUAGAGAAAUGGAUAAGCUUAAAGGUAUAGAUGCCAUUUUAAAAAAAUAUUUGAAGGGAAAGAAUUUGAUUAGAUGGAAUAAAAAAGAGAAAAUCAUUUAACCUAAGCAAGCAACCUAGCACCCAAAUGUUGGUUU
rnacentral:lncRNA from 1 species